UGUGUUAGCCAGGAUGGUCUCGAUCUUCUGACCUUGUGAUCCUCCCACCUCGGCCUCCCAAAGUACUGGGAUUACAGGCGUGAGCCAUCGCGCCCAGCCAAUUUUUGUAUUUUUUAGUGGAGAUGGAGUUUCACCAUGUUGGCCAGGCUGGUCUCAAACUCCUGACCUCAGGUGAUCCACCUGCCUCGGCCUCCCAAAGUGCUGGGAUUACAGGCAUGAGCCACCACGCCCAGCCUGUGAAGGUUCAUACUGUUUAAGAUUUUCCUUCACGGAUACUUGAAGUCAAUCACAAUAUUUAAAACAUUAAAUAUUUU
rnacentral:lncRNA from 10 species